AACGAACGCUGGCGGCAGGCUUAACACAUGCAAGUCGAACGCAUCCUUCGGGGUGAGUGGCAGACGGGUGAGUAACGCGUGGGAAUCUACCCAUCUCUGCGGAAUAGCUCCGGGAAACUGGAAUUAAUACCGCAUACGCCCUACGGGGAAAGAUUUAUCGGGGAUGGAUGAGCCCGCGUUGGAUUAGCUAGUUGGUGGGGUAAAGGCCUACCAAGGCGACGAUCCAUAGCUGGUCUGAGAGGAUGAUCAGCCACAUUGGGACUGAGACACGGCCCAAACUCAUACGGGAGGCAGCAGUGGGGAAUAUUGGACAAUGGGCGCAAGGCUGAUCCAGCCAUGCCGCGUGAGUGAUGAAGGCCUUAGGGUUGUAAAGCUCUUUCACCGAUGAAGAUAAUGACGGUAGUCGGAGAAGAAGCCCCGGCUAACUUUGUGCCAGCCGCCGCCGUAA
rnacentral:rRNA from 1 species